rnacentral:rRNA from 1 species
CAGGCUUAACACAUGCAAGUCGAGGGGCAGCAUGGUCUUAGCUUGCUAAGGCCGAUGGCGACCGGCGCACGGGUGAGUAACACGUAUCCAACCUGCCGUCUACUCUUGGACAGCCUUCUGAAAGGAAGAUUAAUACAAGAUGGCAUCAUGAGUCCGCAUGUUCACAUGAUUAAAGGUAUUCCGGUAGACGAUGGGGAUGCGUUCCAUUAGAUAGUAGGCGGGGUAACGGCCCACCUAGUCUUCGAUGGAUAGGGGUUCUGAGAGGAAGGUCCCCCACAUUGGAACUGAGACACGGUCCAAACUCCUACGGGAGGCAGCAGUGAGGAAUAUUGGUCAAUGGGCGAGAGCCUGAACCAGCCAAGUAGCGUGAAGGAUGACUGCCCUAUGGGUUGUAAACUUCUUUUAUAAAGGAAUAAAGUCGGGUAUGGAUACCCGUUUGCAUGUACUUUAUGAAUAGGGAUCGGCUAACUCCGUGCCAGCAGCCGCGGUAAUACGGAGGAUCCGAGCGUUAUCCGGAUUUAUUGGGUUUAAAGGGAGCGUAGAUGGAUGUUUAAGUCAGUUGUGAAAGUUUGCGGCUCAACCGUAAAAUUGCAGUUGAUACUGGAUAUCUUGAGUGCAGUUGAGGCAGGCGGAAUUCGUGGUGUAGCGGUGAAAUGCUUAGAUAUCACGAAGAACUCCGAUUGCGAAGGCAGCCUGCUAAGCUGCAACUGACAUUGAGGCUCGAAAGUGUGGGUAUCAAACAGGAUUAGAUACCCUGGUAGUCCACACGGUAAACGAUGAAUACUCGCUGUUUGCGAUAUACAGCAAGCGGCCAAGCGAAAGCGUUAAGUAUUCCACCUGGGGAGUACGCCGGCAACGGUGAAACUCAAAGGAAUUGACGGGGGCCCGCACAAGCGGAGGAACAUGUGGUUUAAUUCGAUGAUACGCGAGGAACCUUACCCGGGCUUAAAUUGCAGAUGAAUUACGGUGAAAGCCGUAAGCCGCAAGGCAUCUGUGAAGGUGCUGCAUGGUUGUCGUCAGCUCGUGCCGUGAGGUGUCGGCUUAAGUGCCAUAACGAGCGCAACCCUUGUUGUCAGUUACUAACAGGUUCCGCUGAGGACUCUGACAAGACUGCCAUCGUAAGAUGUGAGGAAGGUGGGGAUGACGUCAAAUCAGCACGGCCCUUACGUCCGGGGCUACACACGUGUUACAAUGGGGGGUACAGAGGGCCGCUACCACGCGAGUGGAUGCCAAUCCCCAAAACCUCUCUCAGUUCGGACUGGAGUCUGCAACCCGACUCCACGAAGCUGGAUUCGCUAGUAAUCGCGCAUCAGCCACGGCGCGGUGAAUACGUUCCCGGGCCUUGUACACACCGCCCGUCAAGCCAUGGGAGCCGGGGGUACCUGAAGUGCGUAACCGCGAGGAGCGCCCUAGGGUAAAACUGGUGACUGGGGCUAAGUCAUAAC